AGAGUUUGAUCAUGGCUCAGGACGAACGCUGACGGUGUGCUUUAGACAUGCAAGUCGAACGAGAAAGCCCUUCGGGGUGAGUACAGUGGCGAACGGGUGAGUAACACGUGGGCAAUCUGCCCCUCGCAGGGGGACAACCGGGGGAAACCCCGGCUAAUACCCCGUACGCUUGUUGAGUCGCAUGGCUCUACAAGGAAAGGUAGCUUCGGCCAUCCGGCGAGGGAUGAGCCCGCGGUGCAUUAGCUAGUUGGUGAGGUAACGGCUUACCAAGGCGACGAUGCAUAGCUGGUCUGAGAGGAUGAUCAGCCACACUGGGACUGAGACACGGCCCAGACUCCUACGGGAGGCAGCAGUCGGGAAUCUUGCGCAAUGGGCGAAAGCCUGACGCAGCAACACCGUGUGAGCGACGAAGGCCUUCGGGUCGUAAAGCUCUGUUGUUGGGGACGAAGGGUUAGGGGUUAAUAGCCCCGAGCCUGACGGUACCCUUCGAGGAAGCCCCGGCUAACUACGUGCCAGCAGCGGCGGUAAUAC
rnacentral:rRNA from 1 species